rnacentral:rRNA from 1 species
AACCGAGAACUCCUACGGGAGGCAGCAGUGGGGAAUUUUGGACAAUGGGGGCAACCCUGAUCCAGCAAUGCCGCGUGAGUGAAGAAGGCCUUCGGGUAGUAAAGCUCUUUUGUCAGGGAAGAAACGGUAGUAGCUAAUAUCUAUUACUAAUGACGGUACCUGAAGAAUAAGCACCGGCUAACUACGUGCCAGCAGCCGCGGUAAUACGUAGGGUGCAAGCGUUAAUCGGAAUUACUGGGCGUAAGGCGUGCGCAGGCGGUUGUGUAAGUCAGAUGUGAAAUCCCCGGGCUCAACCUGGGAAUUGCAUUUGAGACUGCACGGCUAGAGUGCGUCAGAGGGGGGUAGAAUUCCACGUGUAGCAGUGAAAUGCGUAGAUAUGUGGAGGAAUACCGAUGGCGAAGGCAGCCCCCUGGGAUAACACUGACGCUCAUGCACGAAAGCGUGGGGAGCAAACAGGAUUAGAUACCCUAGUAGUCCGACUGAGA